CUCAUGAGCCACUGCUUCUCCAUCAACUCCCAUACUUCCAUAUGUACUUCCCUGAGUCCUAGAGAGCCUGGGUAAUUCUGUGAUUGCAGGAUCAGACAGGAUAGCAUUUCCUAAUUGAGCUCUGAAGAAUGUAUACAAAUUAUGUGAGAAGAAGAAAAAAGUGUGCUUGUUUGUGAGUGGAGACAAUUUUAUGGUCAGGAAAACUACAUGCUCUACUGGUCCCUGGGCAGUAGUGUGGUCUGUGUAUACAGAGGAUAGUCUUAUGUUCAGAGUAAGUAUGUCAGAUUGAUGAGGG